rnacentral:sRNA from 15 species
CUUUAAUCCAUUUCGAAAGAAUUCUGUACAGUCAUCGAUAUUUUAUCGAUUACAGAGUAAAGCCUAAGGGUUUAGUAAUGUUUGCACAUCUGCUGUAAGGCACUUUUAUGCAUUUUGAUUACACAGUUAUUGUCGAUAAAAAACUAUUGAGAACCCAAAAAUUUUAAAGGGUUUAUAGAUAUCUGCCUCCUGAAAAUUUACCAAUUCAAAAGUUCCAAUCGUAUUCACAAGAAUUUCGAUAUAAGAACAUAAUGUAAUCCAUAAUUUAUCGUUUCGGUAGCACAAAUAUAUUUAGCAAGCCCUUUUGAAGCCGUCAUUACAAUUAAAUGUAUUGAAAAAUGCUCUGAAAAUUAAAGCUGAAUCGAUAUGAUAAUUUCUACCAUCAAUGGCGGGUUCCAAUUGACAAAUAAACCUCUGAGAGGACAUCCAUCAUUUAAAGGACUUAGAAAUAUAACUUUAAAUACCAUCAUUCAUUCAAUAAAAUGAAGAUAGAUCCCUAAUUUAAAUUCAGUUCCUACUGGCAAUUCCACAUAGCCAUAUCUAAUUACACAUUCAAGGGAAAGGCUUGCCGUCUCUGCUGGGAGGCAUAAUAAAUCAUCUUUCAGUUGGUACUGCGACGCCCAGAGCCUCUGUGGCAAAGACGCUGUGCCAAGUUUCAGGGCACUCGCUCACUCACUACGGAAUUUAAUUGCCAUAUAAAUGAAGGACGUUCCCGCAAGGAAGUCUUAGUCCCCAUCGCCUGAACGUAGAACUAAUUGCCGCCGUAGCACUAAGCCCCGACACACACACAAUAUUGAUCGAUGCGGAAAGUCACGAUGCUGCCUUGCCUGUUGCAUGUGACCCACAAAUGUGGUUGGCUGUAAAGCGGGGUGCCAAUGGGUAAAGGACUUUUGGAACUGCCAUUCCCUUGACAUUGCCACACGUACGAAUGUCACCGCCAGUCAAUUGAAGCUCAAAACCAAUUUUGGUAGACAGCGAGAGGAGGCCCUCGCUGGCCUCACUCGCUCUCCUGCUCUCUGCAUCGUUUCUCUAACCAAUUGAUGAGAAUUUAUACAAUGGACAAGGCCUAUGAAGGAGUGCCAGGGGCGGUGUUUCGUCAAGAUGUUUGGGAAAUCACUUAAGGAAUGCAGAUAGAAAACAAAAAGGAAGGAAGGACCGAAGUGUAGAUACCCUUUAAAAGGCUCAUCAACCUCUAAAUUCCCAAUUCAUACGUAUCUUCAGACCGAACCCCUUCCCAAAAGCUUGGCAUCGCCCAAAGCCCCUGUGAGACGUUCUUUUAAGCAAUUAAAUAAGCCACAUGCAGCAUCAUCAGCUUUUGGAUAGAUGAUGCUGCAUCAUCAUCAUCAUUUUCCCAUACGAAAAAACCAAACAGCAGCAGUAUAAUUUUUCCAGUGUCAAUUACUGCAAUUUUCUUCUUUUUCAAGCAAUUGAAAUUUCAGUUGUAGACUUCUUCUUUUUUUUGUUUACCAGGAAGUACAUGCAAUUCAUAUGAAAUAUUCAGAAAUCAUCUACGAGCCUGAUGCUGGCCAGGCUGUUUGUUUUCCAAGUCGUUUCACAAAUUGUUUUGCCCCGGAAAAGCUGCCUCUUUAUGGCCACCACUUUUUGUUGUUGACUUGUUUUGGCAGCCAUUCAAUUGGCAACAAACAAAACAAACAACUCGAAAAAUGUUAUUGUUUUAAUGGGUAUUCAUUGUUGGAAAAGUUUCGCAAGAGUUUUAUAAGUUUUUUUUUAGUUUUGCCGAGGAAGAUGGUAGGUUGCAUCCCCAUUUUGAAAUCAUUUAUUGAAGCACAGGCCACGAAAAAUGUAAUUUAAUGUUACAAUGAUUUAUUCGUCGUGUGGCAAUAUUAAUAUUCGUCGUUUUCUUUCGUGUAUUAUAUAUGGAUUAUGUAGUGGAAAUUUGUUGGUCUAGUAGCCCAUGUGUAUGUAAUUGACAAUUAUUGUUUCGUGUGUUGUUUUUUUUUUAA